UUAAUAACUAAAUUGAAUACACGAACGUCAAGAAGAUUCACGGGGUACACUCUUUAAACGUGGCUGACUCCAAAAACGACUAUUGUACCUCGAAGGGCACAUUUUAAUUCGCUGUCACACAGAGCAAGAAGAAGAAAAUUUCGCUAAAUUUUUGCUUUUUUCACCUCUAAAUAAGCGGAAAACCCUAAGCACCAGAACAAAUCGAUCGGGCUUUUCGCUCUAACUUUAGCCCCGUUACCCGCUUUAUGUACGCCAGAAAAUUUCCAGGGUUUCUCUUUUAGCAGAUCAACAGUCACUCAAAACUUUUAGUGAAGGUCUAUAAGAACGAGAUAAAAAGAUCUAAUAAAAAGGUCGGUACCAAACAGGAGAGGGAGGAGAUAGAGCUGGACCAGGUGAAGAAGGUACUUGGGAGUGACUGCAAUAAAUCUACUAGGCAUUGUUCUUAUUUUAUUGGUUGGCAAUCAGUCCGUCAAAUUGGAUGUUUGGAGUGCUUUCUCUUCUAGUUUUCUAGUAGUUUUAAAAAAGGGAUUACAUAGGAGAGCCUGGCAUGACCUAGGUGGCAUCCUUUCAUAGGUUCUUGGUGACCACUUGCAAUGUCUUCUAUGCCACAUUUAACAUUGCCCUUCAAUGUGUUUAGUUAUGUAGCAAAAAUUACAGUUAACCAUUAAAUACCGCAAAAUAUAAUUUUAAAUUUGAUUUCAUGUGUGUUUCCUGUUCAUGUAUUUCUCAUAACCAUUUUAAGUAUUUUAUUUAAAGUUUGCAUUGUAAAAAUUGGUACAUAAAUGUGGAUAGUAUCAGCAAGGAUAGGUAGGAUUAUAAAAAUUCUUUAAAUAUUCUAUAUAUUAGUGUAUAUUACUCUUGAAAUUUAAAAAAAAUUAAAAAAAUUCAUUAAGAGUCUAUUGGUAUAAAGCUUGUACUAGCGCUUACAAUGCAAAUGGACUCUUAAAAUGUUCAUAAUAAUUACUUUUUAGGAGAGAUUUGCAAGCCCAUUCCAAAUUGUAUAAUCUAAAUGAUUGUUUUCUUAAUGUUUCGUUGUCAUACAUUUUUCUUUUUGAGGGUGCUGCUUGAACCAUUUUGGAGCCUCGUAGCUUUGAAUCUUGUCCUUUCUUUUGCAUGCUAUAGUGAUAAGCAAUUCUUGAAACCUUAAUUGUAAUCUGCAAUUUUCUGAGCUGAUAUAUAACUGUUUGGAA